UAUUGACUUGUGAAUAGUAUUGUAGAC
rnacentral:sRNA from 1 species